GACGAACGCUGGCGGCGUGCCUAAUACAUGCAAGUCGAACGCAGUGGGGACGGGUUCGUAACACGUGGGUAACCUCCCAUCAGAGGGGAUAACACUUGGAAACAGGUGCUAAACCGAUACUGAUGGAUGGACCCGCGUGGCAUUAGCUAGUUGGUGAGGUAACGGCUAACCAAGGCCACGAUGCAUAGCCUGCACUAGAGGGUGAUAGGCCACACUGGGACUGAGAAAAGGCCCAGACUCCUACGGGAGGCAGGAGUAGGGAAUCUUCGGCAAUGGACGAAAGUCUGACCGAGCAACGCCGGGUGAGUGAAGAAGGUUUGCGGAUCGUAAAACUCUGUUGUUAGAGAAGCGGUAUCUAACCAGAAAGCCACGGCUAACUCCGUGCCAGCCGCCGCGGUAAUUC
rnacentral:rRNA from 1 species